rnacentral:rRNA from 1 species
UACAGAGGGGGCAAGCGUUGUUCGGAAUUACUGGGCGUAAAGGGCGCGUAGGCGGUCCUUCAAGUCAGGCGUGAAAGCCCCGGGCUCAACCUGGGAACCGCGCUUGAGACUGGCGGACUCGAGUUCGGGAGAGGAUGGUGGAAUUCCCAGUGUAGAGGUGAAAUUCGUAGAUAUUGGGAAGAACACCGAUGGCGAAGGCAGCCAUCUGGACCGACACUGACGCUGAGGCGCGAAAGCGUGGGGAGCAAACAGG